AAGGGGGAAUGCCUUAGUACGGCGAGUGAGCGGCAAAAGCUCAAAUUUGAAAUCUGGUACCUUCGGUGCCCGAGUUGUAAUUUGGAGAGGGCAACUUUGGGGCCGUUCCUUGUCUAUGUUCCUUGGAACAGGACGUCAUAGAGGGUGAGAAUCCCGUGUGGCGAGGAGUGCGGUUCUUUGUAAAGUGCCUUCGAAGAGUCGAGUUGUUUGGGAAUGCAGCUCUAAGUGGGUGGUAAAUUCCAUCUAAAGCUAAAUAUUGGCGAGAGACCGAUAGCGAACAAGUACAGUGAUGGAAAGAUGAAAAGAACUUUGAAAAGAGAGUGAAAAAGUACGUGAAAUUGUUGAAAGGGAAGGGCAUUUGAUCAGACAUGGUGUUUUGUGCCCUCUGCUCCUUGUGGGUAGGGGAAUCUCGCAUUUCACUGGGCCAGCAUCAGUUUUGGUGGCAGGAUAAAUCCAUAGGAAUGUAGCUUGCCUCGGUAAGUAUUAUAGCCUGUGGGAAUACUGCCAGCUGGGACUGAGGACUGCGACGUAAGUCAAGGAUGCUGGCAUAAUGGUUAUAUGCCGCCCGUCUUGAAACACGGACCCA
rnacentral:rRNA from 1 species